rnacentral:rRNA from 1 species
AACCGGGUGAACUGAAACAUCUAAGUAAUCCGAGGAAAAGAAAGUAACAACGAUACCCUAAGUAGCGGCGAGCGAACGGGGUAGAGCCUAAACCGUAUUCAUGUCAAGGAUGCAGCCGUUGUGGAUACGGGGUAGCGGGAAAGAGAGAGAAAGAACUGCAAGCUAUU